UACAGAGGUCUCAAGCGUUGUUCGGAUUCAUUGGGCGUAAAGGGUGCGUAGGUGGUGAGGUAAGUCGGAUGUGAAAUCUCGGAGCUCAACUCCGAAACUGCAUUGGAAACUACCUCGCUCGAGGGUUGGAGGGGGGACUGGAAUACUUGGUGUAGCAGUGAAAUGCGUAGAUAUCAAGUGGAACACCAGUGGCGAAGGCGAGUCCCUGGACAACUCCUGACACUGAGGCACGAAAGCUAGGGGAGCAAACAGG
rnacentral:rRNA from 1 species